rnacentral:tRNA from 1 species
AACCCAGUGGUGUAAUUGGUAGCAGGGUCGCUUUGUAUUUACGAAGGUCAGGCGGUGCGGGUUCGAAUCCCGUCUGAGGAG